rnacentral:lncRNA from 1 species
GGAUUAAUAAGUUGAGGUUGUUUUCCUUCCCAUUGUGGCAGAUUGGAAGGAAAAACUUUGGUUUUACUCCACUAAAUCUGUUUGUUUUGGGUUACUAUAGACUUGAUUUCUCCCCUGUGAAGCUUGUUCUCUUUCCAAAACUUCUACAUGUUUGAACGGUGUUGUUACAGAGGAUAUUGUGUUGAAGAUGAUUCUCUCAUAUGCAUAAAAACUAUGACUUCACUUUCGUCUCUUUUAGCAAUCCUUGAUGCUGACAUUUUGACCAUGAUGGCCUCUGAGAUAUUAAUGUCCCUCCUUUGUGAAAUCGUCAGGAACUGUCAAACUUGGUUUAAAAUG